UGCAAGUCGAACGAGAAGCUAACUUCUGAUUCCUUCGGGAUGAUGAGGUUAGCAGAAAGUGGCGAACGGGUGAGUAACGCGUGGGUAAUCUACCCUGUUAAGUGGGGGAUAACCCUCCGAAAGGAGGGCUAAUACCGCAUAAUAUCUUUAUCCCAAAAGAGGUAAAGAUUAAAGAUGGCCUCUAUACUAUGCUAUCACUUCAGGAUGAGCCUGCGUCCUAUUAGUUAGUUGGUGGGGUAUGGCCUACCAAGACCACAAUGGGUAGCCGGUCUGAGAGGAUGUACGGCCACACUGGGACUGAGAUACGGCCCAGACUCCUCGGGAGGCAGCAGUGGGGAAUAUUGCGCAAUGGGGGAAACCCUGACGCAGCGACGCCGCGUGGAUGAUGAAGGCCCUUGGUUGUAAAAUCCUGUUCUGGGGGAAGAAAGCUUAAAGGUCCAAUAAACCCUUAAGCCUGACGGUACCCCAAGAGAAAGCUCGGCUAAUUAUGUGCCAGCAGCCGCGGUAAUACAUAAGGAGCAAGCGUUAUCCGGAAUUAUUGGGCGUAAAGAGCUCGUAGGCGGUCUUAAAAGUCAGUUGUGAAAUUAUCAGGCUCAACCUGAUAAGGUCAUCUGAAACUCUAAGAC
rnacentral:rRNA from 2 species